rnacentral:rRNA from 1 species
UACGUAGGGACCAAGCGUUGUUCGGAUUUACUGGGCGUAAAGGGCGCGUAGGCGGCGUGUUAAGUCACUUGUGAAAUCUCUGAGCUUAACUCAGAACGGUCAAGUGAUACUGAUGUGCUAGAGUGCAGAAGGGGCAACCGGAAUUCUUGGUGUAGCGGUGAAAUGCGUAGAUAUCAAGAGGAACACCUGCGGCGAAGGCGGGUUGCUGGGCCGACACUGACGCUGAUGCGCGAAAGCUAGGGGAGCGAACGGG